CAAUAACGGGAGUAUGGAGUACUCCUAUUCUUGAUCCUUGGGUAUGAUAUCUUUAUCCUUACCAGAAGACUCACCACCUAUACAUAAUACACGACACGUAAUUCAAUAUAUUUAUACCAAAUUGUUAUAAAACUAUUUCAGGCUCUUUAUGAAUGCAUGGAAUUAAAUGAGAAAUGUUCGGAUAGUCACUUAAAGAUGGUGUUCUACGUAGGUUCAAUUAUGAUUAGAAUGAAUUUGUAUUCAACCUAAUUCGAACUAUACAGCAUUGAUUUAACUAAAACAUCCGAUUCAACUCCAAAUAUUUUCAUUACACUCCCAAUAAUCUAAUACACCAAAGCAUUACAAUGAACUUGAUUUUUGACUAACUUCAACAUUUUCCAAAAUUCAUUUCGAUUCCGAACUAACAUACUAAUCAAUGUCUACACAGUCUCAUAAAUCCAUAUAUAUCAUUAGGAAUCAAACCCAAGUCCAUUUACUAUGAUUUUCUCAGUUUCCAUCAAGCCAUUUUCUAAAGGAACUAUACUUUUCAAUAACUGGUUUCGAUAUCCAACAUCAUAAUUCAUCAAUUCCUAGCUAAAUAACAUGAAUUACAACCAAAUCCAUCAUUAACAUGCCAUAUAGAAAAUUUGGCCAAAUGAGGGUGGUUGAAAAACAUGUGAUUUUCUUGCUUAUUUUUUCCUUCCAAACAUCACAAAAUGAUUAAAAUCACUAGGAUAUUAUGAAAUCUAGCAAAAUUCAUCACCAAAACUUCUCUCUCUAAGCUUGGCCAGCAAAGGUUCCCUCUUGAAAACUUGAAUUUCAGCCAUGGAGAAUGAAAAAGAAUGCAUGGGACAGGUAGAUCACAAGCUAAAAUUAAAAAUCUUACCUUUACUUGCUCGAUUCCUUGAAAUCCAACAAUUUCUCUUGAAUUUUUCCUUCCUAGGGUUUGUUCUUCUCUUUUUCUCUUUGUUCCCUUGCUUGGCCAGCCAUAAGAGUGAAAUGGGAGAAGCUUAAGUCGGUUUAUAAAGGAAAAUCAAUAAAAUAUUAAAGCUUGACACAUGUCACCACUUGAU
rnacentral:lncRNA from 1 species